GACGAACGCUGGCGGCGUGCUUAACACAUGCAAGUCGAACGGAAAGGCCCUGUUUUUGUGGGAUGCUUGAGUGGCGAACGGGUGAGUAACACGUGAGUAACCUGCCCUUGACUUUGGGAUAACUUCAGGAAACUGGGGCUAAUACCGGAUAGGAGCUCCUGCUGCAUGGUGGGGGUUGGAAAGUUUUGGCGGUUGGGGAUGGGCGCGCGGCUUAUCAGCUUGUUGGUGGGGUAGUGGCUUACCAAGGCUUUGACGGGUAGCCGGCGUGAGAGGGUGACCGGCCACAUUGGUACUGAGAUACGGCCCAGACUGCUACGGGAGGCAGCAGUGGGGAAUAUUGCACAAUGGGCGGAAGCCUGAUGCAGCAACGCCGCGUGCGGGAUGACGGCCUUCGGGUUGUAAACCGCUUUCGCCUGUGACGAAGCGUGAGUGUCGGUAAUGGGUAAAGAAGCACCGGCUAACUACGUG
rnacentral:rRNA from 1 species